rnacentral:tRNA from 1 species
ACCGCGAUAGCUCAGCUGGUAGAGCAUCCACUCGGUGUGCGGAGGAUAAUCGGUUCGAUUCCGGCUCGCGGCG